rnacentral:rRNA from 1 species
UACGUAGGGUGCGAGCGUUAAUCGGAAUUACUGGGCGUAAAGCGUGCGCAGGCGGUGAGCUGUGUCCGAUGUGAAAGCCCCGGGCUUAACCUGGGAAUGGCAUUGGAAACUGGCUCGCUGGAGUGUGGCAGAGGGGGGGUGGAAUUCCGCGUGUAGCAGUGAAAUGCGUAGAGAUGCGGAGGAACACCGAUGGCGAAGGCAGCCCCCCUGGGCUAACACUGACGCCUCAGGCACGAAAGCGUGGGGAGCAAACAGG